rnacentral:rRNA from 1 species
UACGAAGGGGGCGAGCGUUGUUCGGAUUUACUGGGCGUAAAGGGCGCGUAGGCGGCGCGAGAAGUCGAGUGUGAAAGCCCCGGGCUCAACCUGGAGACGCCACCCGAUACUGCUGUGGCUUGAGUCCGGUAGAGGAGCGUAGAAUUCCUGGUGUAGCGGUGAAAUGCGCAGAUAUCAGGAGGAAUACCAGCGGCGAAGGCGGCGCUCUGGGCCGGAACUGACGCUGAGGAGCGAAAGCGUGGGUAGCAAACAGG